ensembl:snoRNA
AACACGUUCCUUAGAUCCACCUCUAGGGGGUGCUCUUGCUUUGGCACUGCUCUGUCUCUCUGUUUGAGGCUCUGCAGCUCCAGAGUGGAGGCUCCCAGCAGCUUUUGGCUGUACAGUUGGAGGUGCUUGAGUCAUUGGCGUGUGAAAGCAGUCUACCUGCCCAUUCAGCCAAUAGCUGCACUGGCACCUUUUGUAGGUCUUCACCAGGGCAGAUGAGCUGGAAGGCGGACAAC